rnacentral:lncRNA from 1 species
ACAAUAACAAAUACCCACCCUAGACCACAAACUCUAAUAUUAGUCUGCAGGAUUCUGUUUACAUAAACUUGCAGACUGAGUGAAGGAUAAAGAGAAUGGUGAUUUCUAUGAUCUAACAGUGGUGCAAUAAAAACUUUUGAUAUGUCAUCAGCCAAACAAAACACAUCUUGAGGCCUAAUUUUGCCUGAGAGCCGCCAGUAUGCAACCCUUGGUUUGUAUAUUAAUUCUGAGAGUUGAAAAAAAUGUGAAUAGUAUUUAUAUUAAUAUAGCUAUGUAAACAGUUUCUUAUGGCAGAGGGAAUUAAGGCUUUCAAAUUCUCUAGGACUCCUGUCAUGACUCCUGCUGCAUUCAAACAGAAUGUUCCUGGUAUCAAGUUGCAAAGAUUCUCCCCAUCACUCAGCAUCCAGCAGCCUUGCAAUUGACUGUAAACUUGCACUGGACAACGAAUGGCAGAUACGGUGGCCUACUCCCUGACGUUCCCUCAUUCUUCCCUGCUUGGAAGCCUGUAUGCAGGUCGAGGACAGUGUAGGAGCCUUUGGACGUCCAUAUUCAGACCUUCAAUUCAUCCCAGGUUUUCAGACCUACUCUUCAGUUCCACUGUACCUGCCACCCAAGAACUUCCAUGAGGUUGGACCGAGUGACCACACUGAUCAAAAUAAGCCACUGUGCUUGGUGAGUUGGAGCUGCGCUCUGGCCAGUGAUCCUUGGAGGGAGGUACCGUGGUCCCCACAGCUCGGCUGCAAGUUCAGAGGCAAGAAGAGAGAUCCAGCAGACCUUAGGGAGGGAUCUGGAGCUUUCUUACACAGUUGCC